rnacentral:rRNA from 1 species
AUUGAACGCUGGCGGCAUGCUUUACACAUGCAAGUCGAACGGCAGCGCGGGGCAACCUGGCGGCGAGUGGCGAACGGGUGAGUAAUACAUCGGAACGUACCCAGAAGUGGGGGAUAACGUAGCGAAAGUUACGCUAAUACCGCAUACGUUCUACGGAAGAAAGUGGGGGAUCGCAAGACCUCAUGCUUUUGGAGCGGCCGAUGUCUGAUUAGCUAGUUGGUGAGGUAAAGGCUCACCAAGGCGACGAUCAGUAGCUGGUCUGAGAGGACGACCAGCCACACUGGGACUGAGACACGGCCCAGACUCCUACGGGAGGCAGCAGUGGGGAAUUUUGGACAAUGGGGGCAACCCUGAUCCAGCAAUGCCGCGUGAGUGAAGAAGGCCUUCGGGUUGUAAAGCUCUUUUGUCAGGGAAGAAAUCGCAGAGGCUAAUAUCCUGUGCGGAUGACGGUACCUGAAGAAUAAGCACCGGCUAACUACGUGCCAGCAGCCGCAGUAAGAC